rnacentral:lncRNA from 13 species
AGUUGCGAUCAUAUAAGACUACGAACCACAUAAUCAGUCCGCUAUCCAAGAAAAACGCAAAAUGAAAUUCGUUAUUUUCACUAUUUUUGUUAUGAUCGCUAUGGCUUUUGCUGCUGCCCAAACAAAUGGAAAAUGCAGUAAUGUGGGUGGAUAUUGCCGAACCACCGAUAAUUGCUGCCGUGAUUUGCUAUGUAUGUCCUAUCUCAGUAAAUGCGUGACCGGAUCGUCACUAGGCGGGAAAUAAACGGCUACUUCCGAUACAAGACAUUAGUUUCUGGGACCGCUGAGUCAUAUCCACCAAAUAUGCUAAAGAAAUUUUGAAAGAAUAAUUACUUGGAAUUUCUUUUUAUCUAAUCAAGGAUACUACUUUAAUAUCUCUUCUUAUUUAACCAUGGUGUUAUUUUUCUUUUACAUAUAUGUAAAAAGUAUUUAAAUAGAUGCAUUCAAAAGCAAUUU